rnacentral:rRNA from 1 species
UACGUAGGGUGCGAGCGUUAAUCGGAAUUAUUGGGCGUAAAGAGCUCGUAGGCGGUUUGUCGCGUCUGCUGUGAAAACCCGAGGCUCAACCUCGGGCCUGCAGUGGGUACGGGCAGACUAGAGUGCGGUAGGGGAGAUUGGAAUUCCUGGUGUAGCGGUGGAAUGCGCAGAUAUCAGGAGGAACACCGAUGGCGAAGGCAGGUCACUGGGCCGCAACUGACGCUGAGGAGCGAAAGCAUGGGGAGCGAACAGG